rnacentral:lncRNA from 1 species
GGGUGACCGGGGCCCACCUGGCCUGGACGGCCGUGGUGGGCUAGAUGGGAAACCAGGAGCCACUGGCCCCCCUGGGCUGCAUGGUGCUACAGGCAAAGCUGGAGACCCAGGGAGAGACGGCCUGCCGGGCCUCCGAGGAGAACAUGGCCCCCCUGGCCCACCUGGCCCCCCUGGAGCCCAGGUGAGACUGAGAUUUCAUGGUA